rnacentral:rRNA from 1 species
UUGGAGGGCAAGUCUGGUGCCAGCAGCCGCGGUAAUUCCAGCUCCAAUAGCGUAUAUUAAAGUUGUUGCAGUUAAAAAGCUCGUAGUUGAAUUUCGGGGUUAGUAGGUUGGUCAUGCCUCUGGUAUGUACUGGUCUCACUGAUUCCUCCUUCCUGAUGAGCCGUAAUGCCAUUAAUUUGGUGUUGCGGGGAAUUUGGACUGUUACUUUGAAAAAAUUAGAGUGUUUAAAGCAAGCUAACGCUUGAAUACAUUAGCAUGGAAUAAUGAAAUAGGACGUUCAAUCCUAUUUUGUUGGUUUCUAGGAUUGACGUAAUGAUUAAUAGGGAUAGUUGGGGGCAUUAGUAUUCAAUUGUCAGAGGUGAAAUUCUUGGAUUUAUUGAAGACUAACUACUGCGAAAGCAUUUGCCAAGGAUGUUUUCAUUAAUCAAGAACGAAAGUUAGGGGAUCGAAGACGAUCAGAUACCGUCGUAGUCUCAACCAUAAACUAUGCCGACUAGGGAUCGGAUGAUGUUAAUUUUUUAAUGACUCAUUCGGCGCCUUACGGGAAAC